rnacentral:rRNA from 1 species
AGUGAACGCUGGCGGUAGGCCUAACACAUGCAAGUCGAACGGCAGCACAGUAAGAGCUUGCUCUUACGGGUGGCGAGUGGCGGGCGGGUGAGGAAUACAUCGGAAUCUACUUUUUCGUGGGGGAUAACGUAGGGAAACUUACGCUAAUACCGCAUACGACCUACGGGUGAAAGCAGGGGAUCUUCGGACCUUGCGCGAUUGAAUUAGCCGAUGUCGGAUUAGCUAGUUGGCGGGGUAAAGGCCCACCAAGGCGACGAUCCGUAGCUGGUCUGAGAGGAUGAUCAGCCACACUGGAACUGAGACACGGUCCAGACUCCUACGGGAGGCAGCAGUGGGGAAUAUUGGACAAUGGGCGCAAGCCUGAUCCAGCCAUACCGCGUGGGUGAAGAAGGCCUUCGGGUUGUAAAGCCAUUUUGUUGGGAAAGAAAAGCAGCAGGUUAAUACCCCGAUGUUCUGACGGUACCCAAAGAAUAAGCACCGGCUAACUUCGUG